rnacentral:rRNA from 1 species
GGGUGACGCAGGAAGGUAGCUGAUCCCGGCCGGUGGUUGUGCCGGGGUAAGCGUGUAGGCCGCACCAUAGGCAAAUCCGUGGUGCAUGAAGGCUGAGACGUGAUGCCGAGCCGAUUCAGGUGAAGUCAGUGAUCCUAUGCUGCCGAGAAAAGCCUCUAGCGAGUUCUUAGCGGCCCGUACCCCAAACCGACACAGGUGGUCAGGUAGAGAAUACCAAGGCGACGGGCGAACUGUGGUUAAGGAACUCGGCAAAUUACCCCCGUAACUUCGGGAGAAGGGGGGCCGGUCACGUGAAGCAACACGCUUGUGGAGCGUGGUAUGGCCGCAGAGACCAGGGGGAAGCGACUGUUUACUAAAAACACAGGUCCAUGCGAAGAAGUAAUUCGAUGUAUAUGGACUGACGCCUGCCCGGUGCUGGAACGUUAAGGGGACCUGUUAGCUCUUCGGGGCGAAGCGGAGAACUUAAGCGCCAGUAAACGGCGGUGGUAACUAUAACCAUCCUAAGGUAGCGAAAUUCCUUGUCGGGUAAGUUCCGACCUGCACGAAUGGCGUAACACUUCCCUACUGUCUCAACCACAGGCCCGGCGAAAUUGCAGUACGAGUAAAGAUGCUCGUUACGCGCGGCAGGACGGAAAGACCCCGGGACCUUUACUAUAGCUUGACAUUGGUAUCUGAGUUAAUUUGUGUAGGAUAGGUGGGAGCCUGUGAAGCUCGUACGCCAGUACGGGUGGAGGCAAUCUUGAAAUACCACUCUGGUUGAUUCGGGUAUCUAACUUCGGACCGUGAUCCGGUUCAGGGACAGUGUCUGGUGGGUAGUUUAACUGGGGCGGUUGCCUCCUAAAGAGUAACGGGGGCGCCCAAAGGUUCCCUCAGCCUGGUUGGCAAUCAGGUGUUGAGUGUAAGUGCACAAGGGAGCUUGACUGUGAGACUGACAGGUCGAGCAGGGACGAAAGUCGGAACUAGUGAUCCGGCACCGGCAUGUGGAAGCGGUGUCGCUCAACGGAUAAAAGGUACCCCGGGGAUAACAGGCUGAUCUUCCCCAAGAGUCCAUAUCGACGGGAUGGUUUGGCACCUCGAUGUCGGCUCGUCGCAUCCUGGGGCUGUAGCAGGUCCCAAGGGUUGGGCUGUUCGCCCAUUAAAGCGGUACGCGAGCUGGGUUUAGAACGUCGUGAGACAGUUCGGUCCCUAUCCGCCGUGCGCGUAGGAUACUUGAGAAGGGCUGUCCCUAGUACGAGAGGACCGGGACGGACGAACCUCUGGUGUGCCAGUUGUCCCGCCAGGGGCACGGCUGGUUAGCUACGUUCGGAAGGGAUAACCGCUGAAAGCAUCUAAGCGGGAAGCUCGCUUCAAGAUGAGGUAUCCCACCCACACUUGUGUGGGGUAAGGCCCCCAGCUAGACCACUGGGUUGAUAGGCAGGAAAUGUAAGCCCGGUAACGGGUCCAGUUGACCUGUACUAAUAGGUCGAGGACUUGACCUA